rnacentral:rRNA from 1 species
UACGAAGGGGGCUAGCGUUGUUCGGAAUUACUGGGCGUAAAGCGCGCGCAGGCGGCCAUUCAAGUCAGGGGUGAAAGCCCAGAGCUCAACUCUGGAACUGCCCUUGAAACUGCAUGGCUUGAGUACGAGAGAGGUGAGUGGAAUUCCCAGUGUAGAGGUGAAAUUCGUAGAUAUUGGGAAGAACACCGGUGGCGAAGGCGGCUCACUGGCUCGUUACUGACGCUGAGGCGCGAAAGCGUGGGGAGCAAACAGG